rnacentral:rRNA from 1 species
GCACUGACCCCCCCAUUCAAAUAUUAUCUUGUCUCAGCGGGCGUCACAUACGUCAACGAGCAGACGGGUGAGUAACGCGUUGGAACGUACCUUUUGGUUCGGAACAACACAGGAAACUUGUGCUAAUACCUGGAUAAGCCCUUACGUGGGAAAGAUUUAUCGCCGAAAGAUCGUGCCCGCGUCUGAUUAGCUAGUUGGUGAUGGUAACUGGCUCACCAAGGCGACGAUCACGUAGCUGGUCUUGAUAAGAUGAUCAGCCACAUUGGGACUGAGACACGGCCCAAACUCCAUACGGGAGGCAGCCAUAUGGGGAAUAUUGGACAAGUGGGCGAAAGCCUGAUCCAGCCAUGCCGCGUGAGUGAUGAAGCCCUAGGGUUGUAAAGCUCUUUUGUGCGGGAAGAUAAUGACGGUACCGCAAGAAUAAGCCCCGGCUAACUUCGUGCCAGCAGCCGCGGUAAUACGAAGGGGGCUAGCGUUGCUCGGAAUCACUGGGCGUAAAGGGUGCGUAGGCGGGUCUUUAAGUCAGAGGUGAAAUCCUGGAGCUCAAGUCCAGAACUGCCUUUGAUACUGAGGAUCUUGAGUUCGGGAGAGGUGAGUGGAACUGCGAGUGUAGAGGUGACAAUUCGUAGAUAUUCGCGAAGAACACCAUGGCGAAGUGCGGCUCACUGGCCCGAUACUGACGCUGAGGGCACGAAAGCGUGGGGAGCAAACAGGAUUAGAUACCCAUGGUAAAUCCACGCCGUAACGAUGAAUUGCCAGACGAUAGGGAGUUUCACUCUUCAAUGGCGCAGGUAACAGCUUAAGCAUUCCGCCUGGGGA